rnacentral:rRNA from 1 species
CUCGCAGGCGGAUUGAUAAGUCGGGGGUGAAAUCCCGGGGCUCAACCUCGGAAUUGCCUUCGAUACUGUCAGUCUUGAGUCCGGGAGAGGUGAGUGGAAUUCCUAGUGUAGAGGUGAAAUUCGUAGAUAUUAGGAAGAACACCAGUGGCGAAGGCGGCUCACUGGCCCGGAACUGACGCUCAUGAGCGAAAGCGUGGGGAGCAAACAGGAUUAGAUACCCUGGUAGUCCACGCCGUAAACGAUGGAUGCUAGCCGUUGGGGAGCUUGCUCUUCAGUGGCGCAGCUAACGUAUUAAGCAUCCCGCCUGGGGAGUACGGUCGCAAGAUUAAA